UCUCCUCCAAGAAGCCCUCUCCCCCACUUUUACCUGUGCGUACUCUCUUUAUCUCCCACUGGUUUAUCCGCUGUGCGUGUCUUCUCUCUCAUCCAAUAAACUCUCUCCCUGCUACGGGCUUUUGGUCCGGGUUUCGCGCGACAAUUUGAGUGAACGAAUCUCAACCAUCCAUAUUUUAAAUCAAUGGUUAAAAAGGUGUGGGAGGAUAAAACUUAUAUGCAGUAGGGGAAGCAUGGAGAACUUUCCCCGUAUGUCAGCGUGUAGUCUCUUUACUUUCUUACGCCUAACAAUGUAGGGUUUUGCUGUUCAAGACCUUUUCAUCCUUCGGCCCUAGGGCGGCGGGAACAGAGGCAUUGAUUCGUCUCUCAGCUGAAGAGGUUUUGGACUAGAAGGGUAUAAAUAUGAAAAAGUUUAGCAUUUUUAGAAAGAAGAGGAAAAAAAGCGUUGCUAAUAAGAGCCGUAUCUUUGCGCAUGCAGACAAACUUGUGCAGCAAACAACAUGCUCAUACAUGCAUCUCUCUAUCACGAUCCAUCAUUUCAGUGGACAAUGACAAUCCUAAUGGUGUGGUUUCCCAUCGUCCACCGGAUUGUGGCUUACUCUCUCGUAGACAUUUAUGUUCGGCAAAUCGUUAUGUACAUCGACAUGAAUGGCAAGGGUGGCUAUUUUGUAUUGUGCAGGACAUGGUAGAUGAGCUGACAAUAGAGUUUUGAAGCUUUUUAGUAAUGUACAAUGAAUUCUGGAGUUGUUGACUGUGUUCUGUCCUGAUGUUGUGGACUCGGUCAAUUUCACUUGUUGAUUUGAACUGGGUCAUACUUUAUUUGAUUUUGAUUUACCAAAACAAUCAUGGAUAGGUGUAUUAAAAUUUGCAUUGUGGUUUGAUGAAAUUAUUUUUCUAGA